GUUGGGUAGGGGAGCGUUCUGUAAGCCUGUGAAGGUGGCCUGUGAGGGUUGCUGGAGGUAUCAGAAGUGCGAAUGCUGACAUAAGUAACGAUAAAGCGGGUGAAAAGCCCGCUCGCCGGAAGACCAAGGGUUCCUGUCCAACGUUAAUCGGGGCAGGGUGAGUCGACCCCUAAGGCGAGGCCGAAAGGCGUAGUCGAUGGGAAACGGGUUAAUAUUCCCGUACUUGGUGUUACUGCGAAGGGGGGACGGAGAAGGCUAUGUUGGCCGGGCGACGGUUGUCCCGGUUUAAGCGUGUAGGUGUGUGUUCCAGGUAAAUCCGGUUCACUUUAACACUGAGGCGUGAUGACGAGGCACUACGGUGCUGAAGUAACAAAUGCCCUGCUUCCAGGAAAAGCCUCUAAGCAUCAGGUAACAUCAAAUCGUACCCCAAACCGACACAGGUGGUCAGGUAGAGAAUACCAAGGCGCUUGAGAGAACUCGGGUGAAGGAACUAGGCAAAAUGGUGCCGUAACUUCGGGAGAAGGCACGCUGACACGUAGGUGAAGUGAUUUACUCACGGAGCUGAAGUCAGUCGAAGAUACCAGCUGGCUGCAACUGUUUAUUAAAAACACAGCACUGUGCAAACACGAAAGUGGACGUAUACGGUGUGACGCCUGCCCGGUGCCGGAAGGUUAAUUGAUGGGGUCAGCGCAAGCGAAGCUCCUGAUCGAAGCCCCGGUAAACGGCGGCCGUAACUAUAACGGUCCUAAGGUAGCGAAAUUCCUUGUCGGGUAAGUUCCGACCUGCACGAAUGGCGUAAUGAUGGCCAGGCUGUCUCCACCCGAGACUCAGUGAAAUUGAACUCGCUGUGAAGAUGCAGUGUACCCGCGGCAAGACGGAAAGACCCCGUGAACCUUUACUAUAGCUUGACACUGAACAUUGAGCCUUGAUGUGUAGGAUAGGUGGGAGGCUUUGAAGUGUGGACGCCAGUCUGCAUGGAGCCGACCUUGAAAUACCACCCUUUAAUGUUUGAUGUUCUAACGUGGACCCGUUACCCGGGUUGCGGACAGUGUCUGGUGGGUAGUUUGACUGGGGCGGUCUCCUCCUAAAGAGUAACGGAGGAGCACGAAGGUUGGCUAAUCCUGGUCGGACAUCAGGAGGUUAGUGCAAUGGCAUAAGCCAGCUUGACUGCGAGCGUGACGGCGCGAGCAGGUGCGAAAGCAGGUCAUAGUGAUCCGGUGGUUCUGAAUGGAAGGGCCAUCGCUCAACGGAUAAAAGGUACUCCGGGGAUAACAGGCUGAUACCGCCCAAGAGUUCAUAUCGACGGCGGUGUUUGGCACCUCGAUGUCGGCUCAUCACAUCCUGGGGCUGAAGUAGGUCCCAAGGGUAUGGCUGUUCGCCAUUUAAAGUGGUACGCGAGCUGGGUUUAGAACGUCGUGAGACAGUUCGGUCCCUAUCUGCCGUGGGCGCUGGAGAACUGAGGGGGGCUGCUCCUAGUACGAGAGGACCGGAGUGGACGCAUCACUGGUGUUCGGGUUGUCAUGCCAAUGGCACUGCCCGGUAGCUAAAUGCGGAAGAGAUAAGUGCUGAAAGCAUCUAAGCACGAAACUUGCCCCGAGAUGAGUUCUCCCUGAGACUU
rnacentral:rRNA from 2 species